rnacentral:rRNA from 1 species
CCCUUAGAUGUUCUGGGCUGCACGCGCGCUACACUGAUGCACUCAACGAGUUUCUGACCUUGUCCGAGAGGAUUGGGUAAUCUUUUUAAAAUGCAUCGUGAUGGGGAUAGAUUAUUGCAAUUAUUAAUCUUCAACGAGGAAUUCCUAGUAAGCGCGAGUCAUCAGCUCGUGCUGAUUACGUCCCUGCCCUUUGUACACACCGCCCGUCGCUCCUACCGAUUGGGUGAUCCGGUGAAUAAUUCGGACUGCAGCAAUGUUUGGAUCCCGAACGUUGCAGCGGAAAGUUUAGUGAACCUUAUCACUUAGAGGAAGGAGAAGUCGUAACA